rnacentral:rRNA from 1 species
UACGUAGGUGACCAGCGUUGUCCGGAUUUACUGGGCGUAAAGGGCGUGCAGGCGGUCUGUUAAGUGCAGGGUGAAAGCUCCCGGCUCAACUGGGAGGGGUCCUUGCAUACUGGCGGACUUGAGGGGGGUAGAGGAAAGUGGAAUUCCCGGUGUAGCGGUGAAAUGCGUAGAUAUCAGGAGGAACACCGGUGGCGAAGGCGGCUUUCUGGGCCUUACCUGACGCUGAGGAGCGAAAGCUGGGGGAGCAAACAGG